rnacentral:SRP_RNA from 2 species
CUAGGGACCUUUUAAGAGAGAAAACCUUUGAACCGGGUCAGGACUGGGAAGUAGCAGCCCUAAGAAGUCUUUUUCUUUGCUAGAAGUGUUUCUCUAGCUU